ACACUGUCUAAGUCUGCAGCCCUGAUAAUUAUUUAGCACACUGUUGAGAGAUUUAGUAGCAGCAGCACCAGCCAGAGGCUGAAGAAGGAAGGAUAAGGCGUGGAAGUCUGGAAGCUGGUCUUUGGCCAUUAAAGUUCCUGCAGUCAGGACAACAUGUACAAAUCUGAAAAUCUACACACAACAGUACAGCAAAAAGCAGUUUGUGGAUCUGAUGGAGGAAAACUUAAUGUGUUCAGGGCCCCAAGAGGUGGCGAGGGGUUGGUGACAGCAGCCCCAUGUGAGCCAAAACGUCUGCCUCAGCAUGCGAGGAAGAACUGUUGGGGAGCCAUGAUAACAUGGAGACUGAUGGCAGAGGCCUCGUGCUCAUCUGAAUGUCCUGGGUCAGCUACCAGGAGGAGGCAGAAUGGGGGUCGGUGGCAGAGAUCCCUGGCCUGCUUGAGAGCGACUCCGAAAACAAUUUCAACAACCCUCACUGAGGUCUUCCAACCCAUCCAACCUUUUAAGAACUUUGGUCGCCAACCUCCAGGGAGGAGUAGAAGUUUUCUGUAUACAGUUAGUUAAUUAGUUUCUAUUUGUUAAGAAAUUUAAUUAGUUCUUUUCUGUAUACUGUUAGAUUAGGUAGGUUGGUUAGGUGUAGCCAGUUCCCUUCUUGGAGAAAUUAGGAAUAUUUUUAGCCUAUCCCUGCAGCAGCCAUAAUUACAGUAGUUUUAGUUUAAUGUUGUGCAUUGAUUUAGUGUUAUGCAUUGAUAUAUUAACAUAUUAUUGUAAAUGUAUUGAUACUGAUGUAUUAAUGUUUUGAUAUUGCCUAUUUUGAUUAUGCUCUGUUAAUGUAUUGUUGAUUUAUUGCUAUUGUAUGGAUUUAGUAUGGAUAGGUGUGGAUUUGUUCUUAGUGCUGCUGUUAUUGGUUUAGCAAAUUGUCAGGCUUGAGAUGUUUACUAUACCACUUCUUGUUGUUAAGAUGUUAUUACUAUUUUGCUAUUGAGUCUUGAAAUGUUGUUUACUUUUGAUAUGUUAUGA